ensembl:lncRNA LINC00662 long intergenic non-protein coding RNA 662
GUAGUCCGGCCGCCCUGUGACUAACGGCUGGAACCGCCUAAGACACCACCCCAGCCAGCAUGGCCGGCAGGAGCGCACCGCGCUGUCUCCCUCCAGGGAUCCGCACCGCCCUACAAUCCUGCUUUGUGCUGAGAUUGUAGUCCUGCAGGCGUACAACUAACAAGCUGGGUGCAGAUAAGAGACUACAGCUCCCCGCAUCCCAAGCAAAGGUCCCUCCUCUACGGAGCCCCUCCACGCGUCCACUGCGGUUCCGCCGUGCCAAGGGGAGCUUGGCUGUUCACGGGCCUCACCUGCUAGCGAGAAGAUAGCUUGGCCGGGCGGCUGAUCUCACCUUGUAAUUCUGACACUGUGUCUCCCGGGCUUGUCGGCUUCAUGACUUGUGCCCAAAGUUUGAUUUCUCGCAGACCAGGAGGACCCAUUGGACCCCCGGGCUGGCUGCAGGGCCCACACCUGGGUUAGACCUCGCACAGGGACGCUGCUGCCACUGUAAUAAAGCGUGCCUACACGCUUCUGAAACUGGUGUAGGAACAACCUCAGUUCUGUGAAAGGCGGACGCAGCAGGACAGAAUCUCCGUGGACAUCUGUCUGGAGGAGCAAUUUUACUGCGACAUUUUAAAGAAACAAAUUUAAUUGAUUUCCAAGUUAUUUGAGACAGAGUCUCGCUCUGUCACCAGGCUGUACAGUGCCGUGGCCUGUCUCGGCUCACUGCAACCUCCACCUCCUGGGUUCAAGCGAUUCUUAUGCCUCAGCCUCCCAAGUAUCUGGGACUACAGGCAUGCGCCACCACGCCCAGCUGAUUUUUGUAUUUUUAGUAGAGACGGGGUUUCACCAUGUUGACCAGGAUGGUCUCAAUCUCUUGACCUCGUUAUCCGGCUGCCUCCUCCUCCCAAAGUGCUGGGAUUACAGGCGUGAGCCACCAUGCCUGGCCACAUCUACUUUUUUAAAUGUGUCAUUAUAUUUGUGAUAUUGUCAUGAUGUUUUCUACUUAUAUUUUAUUCAAAAAUUUUAUACUUUAAGUUCUUACCUUUAGGUCUUUGAUGCAUUUUUAUUUGUUUAUGGUGUAGGGUAAAUGUUCAACUUCAUCCUUUUGCUUGUGGAUAUCCAUUUUUUCCCAGCACCAAUUGUUAUAAAGACAGUCCUUUGCCCAUUGAACGGUCUUUGUAUCCCCAUCAAAAAUUAUUUGACCAUAUGCUGCUUUAUACUGUUCCAGUGUCCAUAUGUGUGUCUCUUUGCCAGUACCACACUAUUUUGGAACUUUGUAUUAAGCUUUGGAAUGAAUAAGUGUACAUUUUGUAACACUGGACUUCUUUUUCAAGAUAAUUUUGACUCAUUGGGGUCCCUUGAGAUUCCAUAUGAAAUUUAGGUAGGAUUUUUCUAUUUCUGCAAAAUAGAAUUUUUUGCUUUUUUUGUUACUCCCGACGUAUUUUAUUCUUUUCAGUGCUAUUGUAAAUGUGCUUGUUUGCUUAGUUUUGUUUUCUAAUUAUUCAUCAUUACUGUAUAGAAACACAAGUGAUAUUUGCAUGUUAAUUUUGUAUGCUGCUACUAUGCUGAAUUUAUUAGUUGUAAUACUUUUUGUGUGGAUCUGUGAAAUCUCUAGAGCUUUCCACAUAAAAUUAUAUUAUCUGUAGGCUAGAGUAAUUUUACCUCUACAUUUCCAAUUUGGAUAGUUUGUUUCUUUUUAAUUCUUAAUUUGACUAGAACUUCCAACACUAUGUGGAAUAGAAAUAGCAAAAGCAGACACCUUUGCCUUGUUCCUGAGCUUAGAGCAGAAGCUUUUUGUCUUUCACCCUGGAGUACAUUGUUUGAUGUGGUUUUUUAAUGUGUGGAUUUCACAAUGGUAGUAUUUUAGUUUUAAAAUUCCUACUUUUUUGAGUGUUUUCACCCUGAAAAGAUUUUGAAUUUCAUAAAAUACUUUUCUCUGCAUCCAUGAGGUGAUCAAUGUUUCUUUUAUUUUGUUAAUGUGUACACAUUGAUCAAUUUUUAUAUGUUAAAAAAUUCAUGUUUUAAGAUAUCCUUGCAUUCUAAGAAUAAAUUGCACUUGGUCGUGGUGAGAUCAUCUUUCUUUUUUUUUAAAUUUUAUUAUUAUUAUACUUUAAGUUAUAGGGUACAUGUGCACAAUGUGCAGGUUAGUUACAUAUGUAUACAUGUGCCAUGCUGGUGUGCUGCACCCAUUAAAUUGUCAUUUAGCAUUAGGUAUAUCUCCUAAAGCUAUCCCUCCCCGCUCCCCCC